GACCUACGGGGGGCUGCAGUGGGGAAUAUUGGACAAUGGGCGAAAGCCUGAUCCAGCAACGCCGCGUGAGGGAUGACGGCCUUCGGGUUGUAAACCUCUUUCAGUAGGGACGAAGCGCAAGUGACGGUACCUACAGAAGAAGCACCGGCCAACUACGUGCCAGCAGCCGCGGUAAUACGUAGGGUGCGAGCGUUGUCCGGAAUUAUUGGGCGUGAAGGGCUCGUAGGCGGUUUGUCACGUCGGGAGUGAAAACUCGGGGCUUAACUCCGAGCCUGCUUCCGUUACGGGCUGACUAGAGGUAUGCAGGGGAGAACGGAAUUCCUGGUGUAGCGGUGAAAUGCGCAGAUAUCAGGAGGAACACCGGUGGCGAAGGCGGUUCUCUGGGCAUUACCUGACGCUGAGGAGCGAAAGUGUGGGGAGCGAACAGGAUUAGAUACCCGAGUAGUCGG
rnacentral:rRNA from 1 species